rnacentral:rRNA from 1 species
GAUGUUGGGUUAAGUCCCGCAACGAGCGCAACCCUUGUCCCAUGUUGCCAGCCCGUGAUGGCGGGGACUCAUGGGAGACUGCCGGGGUCAACUCGGAGGAAGGUGGGGAUGACGUCAAGUCAUCAUGCCCCUUAUGUCCAGGGCUUCACACAUGCUACAAUGGCCGG